rnacentral:rRNA from 1 species
AUUGAACGCUGGCGGCAGGCUUAACACAUGCAAGUCGAGCGGGGUGAUGGUGCUUGCACUAUCACUUAGCGGCGGACGGGUGAGUAAUGCUUAGGAAUCUGCCUAUUAGUGGGGGACAACAUCUCGAAAGGGAUGCUAAUACCGCAUACGUCGUACGGGAUAAAGCAGGGGAUCACUUGUGACCUUGCGCUAAUAGAUGAGCCUAAGCCGGAUUAGCAAGUUGGUGGGGUAAAGGCCUACCAAGGCGACGAUCUAUAGCGGGUCUGAGAGGAUGAUCCGCCACACUGGGACUGAGACACGGCCCAGACUCCUACGGGAGGCAGCAGUGGGGAAUAUUGGACAAUGGGGGGAACCCUGAUCCAGCCAUGCCGCGUGUGUGAAGAAGGCCUUAUGGUUGUAAAGCACUUUAAGCGAGGAGGAGGCUCUUUUGGUUAAUACCCAAGAUGAGUGGACGUUACUCGCAGAAUAAGCACCGGCUAACUCUGUGCCAGCCGCCGCCGUAA